rnacentral:rRNA from 1 species
CAGUAGCCGCGGGAAUACGGAGGGAGCUAGCGUUGUUCGGAAUUACUGGGCGUAAAGCGCACGUAGGCGGUUAUUCAAGUCAGAGGUGAAAGCCCGGGGCUCAACCCCGGAACUGCCUUUGAAACUAGAUGACUGGAAUCUUGGAGAGGUCAGUGGAAUUCCGAGUGUAGAGGUGAAAUUCGUAGAUAUUCGGAAGAACACCAGUGGCAAAGGCGACUGACUGGACAAGUAUUGACGCUGAGGUGCGAAAGCGUGGGGAGCAAACAGGAUUAGAGACCCGCGUAGUCCCUGUCUCUUAUAC